rnacentral:rRNA from 1 species
UACGGGGGGAGCAAGCGUUGUUCGGAUUUACUGGGCGUAAAGGGCGCGUAGGCGGUAGCACAAGUCAGUUGUGAAAUCUCCGGGCUUAACUCGGAAAGGUCAACUGAUACUGUGCGACUAGAGUGCAGAAGGGGCAACUGGAAUUCUCGGUGUAGCGGUGAAAUGCGUAGAUAUCGAGAGGAACACCUGCGGAGAAGGCGGGUUGCUGGGCUGACACUGACGCUGAGGCGCGAAAGCCAGGGGAGCGAACGGG